rnacentral:sRNA from 1 species
GCUGGGCAUGGUGGUGCAUGCCUAUAAUCCCAGUGACUCAAGAGGCUGAGGCAAGAGGAUUACAAGUUUGAGGCCAGCCUUAGCAACACAGUGAGACUGUGUCUCAA